GUGGGGAGGCUGGGGCGCGGGGCGGGCGUUGUGUGGGGGCAACCAGGCUCCCGCCGCCGCCGCCGCCAGCAAGUCCAAUACUAGCAGAUCGGCGGUAAGGAUGGAGAGGAAGAGACUCCCGGCAGUCGUCCUACUGACGGAACGCAACGCCCCUCUGCUUCCCCAUACCUUCAGUAAGAUGGGUUGUGAGCAGCAACGCCACGUGAGGGCAGUUGGCUUGGAGCCCUCAAAGGAAAACUGAGUUCUGCAGCUGGGCUGACGCAGCGUGGUGGAACAGGGCCAGCUCGUGUGGAAAGGUUACUUGAUUCAGAGGAAAAGGCACAAGCUCUGCCAUCUCCUGUGGCUCAGAGUGUUCCACUAGAUUUCUGCAUCUGAUUAGAAGAUGAGGAAGGUAAAUGGAGGAGCACAGGUACCAUUAUAAGAACUGAGUCUACAUUGAUGAACACAGCCAACAGGGGGCCCCUAUUUGGGCUUUUACCAUUCUGUAGAGGAGUUUUACUUUGCCUGUAAAGGUCGGUAUAAUCAAAGUUAUGGUAUUCCCAGUAGUUAUGGAUGGAUGUGAGAGCUGGACAAUAAAAAAGUUUGAAUGCUGAAGAACUGAUACCUUUGAGCUGCGGUGCUGAAGAAGACUCUUGACAGUCCCUUGGACUGCAAGGAGAUCCAGCCAGUCCAUCCUAAAGGAGAUCAACCCUGAAUAUUCAUUGGGAGCACUGGUGCUGAAGCUGAAACUCCACUACUUUGGCCACCUGAUGAGAAGAGCCGACUCAUUGAAAAAGACCCUGAUGCUGGGAAAGAUUGAAGGUGGGAGGAAAAGGGGGGCAACAGAGGAUGAGAUGGUUGGAUGGAAUCACCGACUCAAUGGACAUGAGUUUGAGCAAUUUUCAGGAGAAGGUGAAGGACAGGGAAGUCUGGUGUGCUGCAGUCCUUGGGGUCACAAAGAGUCAGACACAAGUAAGCAACUGAAUAGCAAGAUGAUGAGAGUCACAGGUACACAAUUUUCAGGAACUGACUUUAUUUUUGCUUAACUUUUUUUAACAUUGUUAUUAAUUA